GCGGAGGAAAAGAAACUAACAAGGAUUCCCCUAGUAACGGCGAGUGAAGAGGGAAAAGCUCAAAUUUAAAAUCUGGCGGUCUACGGCCGUCCGAGUUGUAAUUUAGAGAGAUGUUUUCCGCGUCGGACCACACACAAGUCCUUUGGGAUAAGGCUUCAUAGAGGGUGAGAAUCCCGUACAUGGUGUGGACUACCGGGGCUAUGUGAUGCAUCCUCGAAGAGUCGAGUUGUUUGGGAAUGCAGCUCAAAAUGGGUGGUAAAUUCCAUCUAAAGCUAAAUAUUGGGGAGAGACCGAUAGCGCACAAGUACCGUGAGGGAAAGAUGAAAAGCACUUUGGAAAGAGAGUUAAACAGUACGUGAAAUUGCUGAAAGGGAAACGCUUGGAGUCAGUCGCGUCUUAUUGGACUCAGCCGUGGUUCUCCGCGGUGUACUUCUGAUGAGAUGGGCCAACAUCGAUUUUGUUCGCCGUACAAAGGCGGGAGGAAGGUGGCAUCUCUCGGGAUGUGUUAUAGCCUCUCGUUGUAUGCGGUGGGUGGGAUCGAGGAACGCAGCGCGCCCGCAAGGGUUGGGAUUCGUCCACAUACGCGCUUCGGAUGUUGGCGUAAUGGCUUUAAACGACCC
rnacentral:rRNA from 1 species